rnacentral:rRNA from 1 species
GUAGGUGGCAAGCGUUGUCCGGAAUUAUUGGGCGUAAAGCGCGCGCAGGCGGUUCUUUAAGUCUGAUGUGAAAGCCCACGGCUCAACCGUGGAGGGUCAUUGGAAACUGGAGAACUUGAGUACAGAAGAGGAAAGCGGAAUUCCACGUGUAGCGGUGAAAUGCGUAGAGAUGUGGAGGAACACCAGUGGCGAAGGCGGCUUUCUGGUCUGUAACUGACGCUGAGGCGCGAAAGCGUGGGGAGCAAACAGGGAUUGGAUACCCUGGUAGUCCACGCCGUAAACGAUGAGUGCUAAGUGUUAGGGGGGUUUCCGCCCCCUUAGUGCUGCAGCUAACGCAUUAAGCACUCCGCCUGGGGAUACGGCCGCAAGGCUG